UCCUGUUGAAGAAUGAGCCGGCGACUUAUGGUCAGUGGCAAGGUUAAAACGAAUAGUUGGAGCCAAAGCGAAAGCGAGUCUGAAAGGGCGUCUGUCAUUGGCUAUAGACCCGAACCCGGGUGAUCUAACCGCGGUCAGGAUGAAACUUGGGUAAGACUAAGUGGAGGUCCGAACCGACCGAUGUUGAAAAAUCGGCGGAUGAACUGUGGUUAGGGGUGAAAUGCCAAUCGAACUCGGAGCUAGCUGGUUCUCCCCGAAAUGCGUUGAGGCGCAGCGGUUGAUGAUUAGGCUGUCUAGGGGUAGAGCACUGUCUCGGUGCGGGCUGCGAGAGCGGUACCAAAUCGUAGCAAACUCCGAAUACUAGAACAGAGCCAUCAGCCAGUGAGACUGUGGGGGAUAAGCUCCAUUGUCGAGAGGGAAACAGCCCAGACCAUCGGCUAAGGCCCCUAAAUGAUUACUAAGUGAUAAAGGAGGUGAGAGUGCCCAGACAACCAGGAGGUUUGCCUAGAAGCAGCCACCCUUGAAAGAGUGCGUAAUAGCUCACUGGUCAAGCGCUCUUGCGCCGAAAAUGAACGGGACUAAGUAAUCUGCCGAAGCUGUGGGAUAACAAUUUGUUAUCGGUAGGGGAGCGUUCCGAAAAGGGCGAAGUUUAGGCGUGAGCCUUGAUGGACUUUUCGGAAGUGAGAAUGUCGGCUUGAGUAACGAAAACAGGGGUGAUGAAUCCCCUGCCCCGAAAGCCCAAGGGUUCCUCCACUAGGCUCGUCCAGGGAGGGUCAGUCAGGACCUAAGACGAGGCCAAACGGCGCAGUCGAUGGAAAACAGGCGAACAUUCCU
rnacentral:rRNA from 1 species